rnacentral:lncRNA from 1 species
UGGACAGUGAGCAAACCGUCUGAAAACAUUAGUCAAAAAGAUUCUUCCCUUCCAGAAAUGCUUGGUUAAGCAGGAUCCAGGCUGAACAGAGGGCCCGCCAUCCCGGAGCUAUACCUCCAAGAACACGUGACCUCCUCGGGUGACGGGACAGAGGAAGAAGGUCUCACGCUGAUAAUUAAAGGUUUUGGCCUGGAAGUGACGUGCUUCACUUCUGCUCCAGAACAUAGUCCUGCCUGACUGGAAAGGGAGCAGAGAGAUGUGCUCUCCUCACAUGCUCCGAGGGAGAGGCAGAGAAGAAAUG